rnacentral:rRNA from 1 species
UACGGAGGGUGCGAGCGUUGUCCGGAAUCACUGGGCGUAAAGGGCGCGUAGGCGGCCUGAUAAGUAGGGGGUGAAAUCCUGUGGCUUAACCGCAGGGCUGCCUUUGAUACUGAGGGUCUUGAGUAUGACAGAGGUGAGUGGAACUGCGAGUGUAGAGGUGAAAUUCGUAGAUAUUCGCAAGAACACCGGUGGCGAAGGCGGCUCACUGGCUCAUUACUGACGCUCAGGCGCGAUAGCGUGGGGAUCAAACAGG